UGCACAAAGGAGGAGCAGCUCAGCGAGCUUGGUCUGGGCCAUCGAAGGGAACGUCCAAACAUCUGGAUUGUUUUCUGCUGUUUGUCUCACAUCCUUCUGGAAAGAAAGCAGGAGGAGACAGAGGUCAGAUUUGAUCCCGUUGUGUGUGAUGCUGAAGGCCAAGGGGCAGAAGCUGGUGCUUAGGCAGGGGAGAGGCUAGGCAAGCUGAGCAUUGUAGAGCAACGAGAUGAAAGUAGAGCUCAUUCUACGUCGCUGUUGAGCGCUUUGCAGGUAUUGAUCUUGCAGCGGGAUCUGUCUGGCUGCAGGACCGUGGUUGGAUACAUUGAUUCCAGCAGAAACUCAGCAAGCAGUGGCGACCUGUGCAAAGCGCUGCUCGGAAUGGACCUCUGCCGAGGAAUCAAGCAUUGAGCAAAAAGAAUGUUUGGGCCAGGUGACCGCAGAAGUCUGGCUGUUUUGGAUGGUGGCAGCAGAUGGAAGCAGGUGUUCUUGGGACUGCUGAGCUUUUGACGUAAGUCAGCUGUACUGCAGCAAGUACGAUUAGGUUCUGAAAUGCCUUUAAAGACGCACACGAGGUAUCUGUGUCCUGCCAUGCCAUCAUUGUUUCUUUUUGCUGCAGGUGUUUUUACUCCCACGUGUGGGGCUUGUUUGCUUGUAGAAGGAAGACUGUUACGUGUAGUUUUCACAGCAAACUCCUGUUAUGAUUUCUUGAUGAUUUUAAUCCAAACUAUCAGAAGGAGGGUUGCAAGAAAGGGCCCUGCCAAUGCCGAUCUAGAGAAGAUUCCCAGAUCUAGAAGGAGAUCUACUUUAAAUAUGUCAUUCCAUCACACUUUUGUUUGUUUGUUUGUUUCCUGAAGCAAUGAGCAUAGGAAUUUCCACUGGUGAUUGUUUGUAGAAUAGAAGAAGUUAUUAAGAGAUACUCCAUAUUUCAUUAAAUCAACACCUUGCAACUGUUGCAAUGCAAAGCCAGAGUUUUAAGCUAAACUUUGUGUUGCUGCCAGAAAAGGCAAAGAACUUAAAUUUCUCAUAGUAAUGCAUAAUAUAUAUUGCACAAGAAGAAACUCUCAGUAUUAUUCAAGUUUAUGUUUUAUUCAGUAAUGCUGAGACUGAGAAUUUUAUUAAUCUAGAGGGUAUGACAGUAUGGGAAAAAUUAAGGAAGGGAUUCAGUUGCAAAUUCUGGGUACAUCAAUUGAAGAGUCUAAGUAUGGGCAUCUACAUAUGACUGAAGUAUUCAACAUCUGAAUAAAGCAAAAUAUUUUGGAGGCCA
rnacentral:lncRNA from 1 species